ACCGGACAGUCCAUUGUUGUCCUCCACUGCACACAACGUGUGUGUUUGACAUCUCCUCCAGUUUCACAGGUUAAAGACUUUUUGAAGUAAAGAGGAGCAUCUCAUCUGAACCUGAUGUCUAUCAUGGAUAUUUAACUGCAGUUCUGUGAGUAUCCCAACUUAACCAUGAAGAUGAACUGAAAACUGUAAGUCAUAAGUUUCUCAUUACUCUUGGGCACAUUGAUGUAUUUUGGCUUCCUGGUGAGUUAACCCGUUACCUGAAGGUUGAUCUGAGUUGUAAGGAUGUUUUAUUGGUUCAUUGGUUACUUAGGUGUUUGUUUUUAUGUUGGUUUUAAUGAUUUGUUAAAAUGGUUACCGGCUCCAAGUUAUUGUUGCAAGCUGGAGUAAUGGGUAGGGUUCUGAUGUCUUCAGUCUUCUUUCCAGCUACUCUCCUGAGCUCUGCAUCUUCAUCACAUGUGGGUGUGGUCUGAGUGAGCAGAGGUGCAUACUGGGAUACAGUGCUGUCUGAAGUCUACAGGUCUGUAGACACGCCCCCUCAGGGGAAACCGAGUGUUUGAGAAACCGUCGUAACGUCAGUUACAUGGACUAGAAUGUUCUUUAAGAUGGAGACAGGGAUUCAGAAGGGGAAACGCCAGGGGGAGAUGAGGGGGCUCCUCAUCUCAACAGCUAAAACAAAACUUCAGUCUGACACAGAGAACCAUGGAACACAUUCAACAGUCCCCUUCAGACAUCGUGCCUCCUCAGGAACAGUUUCAUGUCCAAGAAGGUCUUAAUUGGGGCCAUUCCAAGAUGGAUCCUGCUCCUCAAGAGCCACCCCCCUCCACUGGGUGGUCUUCUGAACAGAUGACCUCCUUCCUGUCCCCAGGCUGACUAAAGCUUCACCGUUUGCAUCUGUGAAGGCCCCUCAUUCAGGAAACCACUGGACUACAAAGACAUGACUUCAGAGACGUUGAAUCAACCUUGGACACAUUUUGGAGACGCCAAGCAUAAUCCAUCACCAAUGUGGGACGCCACUGAAAAAUGUUGCAUGUAAUUUACUUCUCUGGAGACAUUGGUUGUUCUGUUCUGGGUGCCCUGGCAGGAGAGCUGGGGUUGGAUGAUGGAAUGUUAUUUGGCAUGAAGUUUUUACCCUGCAUGAUUGUUUGGCCUUUUAUGGCUCAGUGGUGUGUGCGUUUGGGUUUGACAUGAGAUGGAUGGUUUUUGAGCAUCCUAGGUUCUACUGUGUGUCUCUCACUCACAGCUGGCAUGGGGUUCUACGUGCGUGUCCUGGGUUCCAAGUGCGUGUCCGGCUUGCAUUGACAGUAAUAAUGUUCAUACGGGGGUCUGUGUGAUUGGCUUGGGAUAUUGGAAUGGUCAACUAAAUCAUACCUGCUGGACGGCCACAGGUUUACUUAAGGGCCUCCAGUAGACAUGAAGAGCCCAGAGCGACGCUGCGGAGCAAUAUCCAACACACUGGGCAGGAAGGAGAGUAUCCAACUCAAGUGUAAAAGAAUGCAAGCAGCGUGUUCAGAUCAGUGACUUCAAACUGGGACUACACCAAUCAGGAUCAAUGGAGGAUGGACACCUGAAGGAAUUCCAAAAGCAGAGUCUGACGUUGGAAAGGGAGCUAAAUGGAUAUUCAAGAUGACCUUCAGACCUGUAAUGAGACGGCUCUUCCUACCUGGCUGGAUUGAUGGAGAGCCCUGUGGAUCUUGUCUUGCUCUGUUGCACAUCUUCUCAGGCUGAACUGUAUUUGUUUCGGACAGGACUAGCAGAACGAUUGGUUCCCUUAAAUCAGAACCAAUCUGGGAACUGCAACUAGUGCGCUCUUCGAGCUGAAGUUGUGCUCUUCAGCUGAGGAGUUAAGGAAACCUUCACUGGGGCUUCACGGUGUAAAGAGGAGGAUGUUUCAAAGUGUUCCAUGGUACUCUGAUGAAGACCGUUGUUGUGUUCCACUGGCUGAGGGGAAGAACCCUCACAUCUUCCUAUUGGCCUUUCUCCUCUGAGAAUCCUGGCGCCAUCUUGAAGGAUAUUCCAGCUCAUGUAACUGAUGUCACGACAGAUUCUCAAACACUUGGUUUCUCCUGAGGGGUGUGUCUAUCAAACUGAAUACUUCAGAAAGCACUGUAUCCCAGCAUGCAUCUCUGCUCACUCAGACCACACCCCCAUGAGUAGGAUGCAACAAUCUAGUGAUGGAGAUGUAGAGUUUUAUAAGUAACGAGGGAGCAGACAAAGGUGUUUAGAACACAAUGGCAUGUCAAGUCUGUAAAUCUCUAAACCAUGAAGAUGAUUGGAUAGUUCAAGAAUUGGGCUUCUUUUUAUUAUGGGCGGUCCUUUCACUCAGAUGCCCGCUUCUCACUGGAACUGUAAAUGUGUUGGCUGGCUGGCAUGAUUUGCUGUUGGUGAUGAGGCGGUCAGGGUGACGUUGCAGGGCUAUGGUCGGCUCUCUGUGAGCUCAACGUUUAGAUUUGCUCUGUAUGGUUUGUACCCUGAAUAAUCUUGAUAAUUGUAAAAUGUAGACACGGUUUUGUAUUGAAUGAUUUUAGGUUUAAAGUUGUCGUACAUGGUAGUUUGGUUCUUUGUACGGUUUUGAGUGAUAUAACAUGUACACACUGGGUGAAUAAUAAUGUAAAGGCACACUGUAUAGUAGCAAUGACCAACAGCAACAAACAGAUCUCCUCAAGGUAAGUCUGUUGGCUGUGUUUUAAUGAAGACCAUCGCUGGACUUCAGGAUCUUCCUCCGUUCAGCUCAAGGUGAGGCGCUGGUUAUGUUGUUUCUUUGGUUGGUUCCGGCCGGAAUGUUCGGAUUCCGGUCGGACGGUUUGUGCUUCCCGCCGUGGAGGUUUCUGAGUGCGGUCACUUUAUUUAGUCCCAAUGGUUAGCAUAGAACGUUGUAGUCUUGACAACCAUAAGAAACCACCUGGCAGUUAGUUGGACCGGAGUCCCCUGAGGGAAUCUGGCAGAACGUUCUGGAAUGUAUUUGCGUAACCUCGAGCCGUUGCCAACGAAAACAAUUUUUCAGUCGUUUCCAUUGGGAAUUGUUGCCCCUUAUCUUAAACGACUUAAGUUUGAUAUUAAAUACAUACUGACACGUACGUCGUACAAUAUGUUAAUCAUUUCCGAUGGUUGCGCCGUACUUUUAACCACGAUGACGUGACGGGACUCUCGCUGCAUACAAAACUGCGUUCUACUUGCGGGCCCAUUUUUGACAUCAGUAACGGCUGAAAAUCAUUUCAAGGUGGCAUUUCAACGGAACCCAGCACCUGAAUAUGGUUGAGUAUAUUUGAUUUAAUAUCGAUACUGCUUAGUGUUCUUUGUUACAUCAGCUUUUGUACGUUCUAAAUAUCUGCUGUCAUUAAUUGCCACAGAAGUUAAACCCUACCAAAUGUAAUGACGUUGAACAACGACUUUGGUGCAGAGUUACCAACUGCAUAAUAUCAAAGCUAAAAUAAUGGCCGUCCUUCCCACAUGUUACAGUAGAAGAUACUCUAGAACUGUACAAGGUUAAAAAGGUAACGUGUAGUUUGUCCCAAGGUGUCUGCCUCCUCACCCAGAGCAAGACCUCCACCUCCUCAUCCAGAGCCAGACCUCCACCUCCUGUCAGAAGGCCUCCAGAACAGAUGCAGGUGGUGGGGUGUGUUGCGUCCCCAGGUGAUUUACUGCGGAGACCAACUGUGUUUGUUCCAGACCAGGAAUCUGUCUGAGGGGAGGUGCUGGAUUCCUCAAAGUGUUUCUGGAGCGGAGGCGAGCUGGUAGGGGAGCCGUGAAUCUGGAGGAUGACCAUCACUCUACCAACAAGGAUUGGAAGUUUGUAUUAACCUAACAAAGUGGAAAUAAAAGACUUAACAUUUUUGUUUGUUAGCAGACGUUGGGGCCAGACUUGCGCUGUUUGUUCCAGACCAGGACUCUGGCUGAGGUGAGCUGAUGGCAUCACUCUACCAACCAGGAUCCUCACCAGAAAUCUGGAGGACUGAUGGAGAAGCCGUACAUCUGGAAGGCAAAUCCUGAGGACAACCAGGACUCUACCAUCAAGGAUUCCUCACACACCUGAGCUGAACCUCGCCUGAUCCUGUUUGGUCGGGGGUAGACACACCUGAGCUGAACCCGCCCUGAUCCUGACAUCCUGCUGGUCCCGUCUCCUCAGUUCAUCUGCGCCUCGUCCUCCAGAAGACCUGCUCAGCUCAGCAGUCUGAGGCUGAUGGAUCAAUGACCUCCAGUGGGAGUGAUCUUCUUGACCCCACAUGUGAUUUACUGCUGAGACCAGUGUUUGUUCCAGACCAGGACUCUGGCUGAGGUGAGCUGAUGGAGGAGCCAAGACUCUGGAGGACGACAUCACUACCAACCAGGAGCCUCAGACAAAUUUCGUUUGUAACCAGACCAGGAAUCUGGAGGACUGAUGGAGAAGCCGUACAUCUGGAAGGCAAAUCCUGAGGACAACCAGGACUCUACCAUCAAGGAUUCCUCACACACCUGAGCUGAACCUCACCUGAUCCUGUUUGGUCGGGGGUAGACACACCUGAGCUGAACCCGCCCUGAUCCUGACAUCCUGCUGGUCCCGUCUCCUCAGUUCAUCUGCGCCUCGUCCUCCAGAAGACCUGCUUAGCUCAGCAGUCUGAGGCUGAUGGAUCAAUGACCUCCAGUGGGAGUGAUCUUCUUGACCCCACAUGUAACCGUGUGCUUCCACACGCCUUUCCUCACGUCUGUCACUAACCUCACUACUAUCUCCUGCUUCCUCUUCUUCUUCCUUCUCUGUGGUUCGAACCUUUACACUGAAGGCGCGUCUUCCUGCCCUCAGAGGGUUCAGCGUUAGGGUUGAGAGUCAGGGUUUAGAGUCAGGGACAGAGCUGGUCAGGGAGGACUGCUUUAAGAAAACCUCUUCACUUGCUUUCGGAAUGGUGGUGACAUUUUGAAAAGAUUCAUUUGGGAAAAUGUUUUCCUAUGCUUUCCUUUACAAAAUUGUAUUAAACUUGUGUCAAGUGUUUUUGUUUAUAUAUUAAAAUCCCACAUUGACUUCUACAUGUUUGGUGCGGUUCAUUUAAUUGUCCUUUAACUUGGUUAAUGUCAAGCUAAAA